rnacentral:rRNA from 1 species
UGUAAAUGAUUUGUCUAAAUUUAAAAGAAUAAGAGGAGAGAAUAAGAAAAAUAAUUUUCGUAAUUUUAGUAAUUUUUAAUGAAAAUAAAGUAAAGACUAAAGAGAAAAGUACUGUGAAGGAAAGUUGUUAAAACUUUUUAUAGAAGAAGUAAAAUUUUGUGCCUCGUGUAUCAGAAAAAGUUUAUAUAGUUUAAUUACAAUAAGUAUCUCGAAAUAAAAUACAGUAAUUUUUAUAAAAUUUUCUUUUUAGAAAAAAAGAAUUUAAUAUAAAAUUUAAAGUGAAAUGCUAGCUGAGUUUUAUGAUAUCUAGUUUUUUUAAAAAUAAAUUUAAUUUAAUUUUUAUAAAGAAAAAGUUAUAAAAUUAAAUGGUAGGGGGGAUUAGCUCUUUACGGAAAAGAUAAUGAAAUAGUUAAAUAAAAGUAAAUUAUAUAAAUUAGGCUUAGAAGUAGCUAUAUUGAAAAAGUGUUUUAACUAAAUUAUAAUUGCUUGAAUAUUUAAAAUAAAACUUUUCUUAGGUAUAAAAAAAUGGCUUAAACAAAACAAAACAAGAUAUGAUGAUUUUAUUAGUAAAAUUUAUUGAGUAAAUAAAGAU